rnacentral:tRNA from 1 species
GCCGGGGUGGCGAAACGGCAGACGCAGCGGACUCAAAAUCCGCCGAGGGCAACCUCAUGAGGGUUCGAUUCCCUCCCCCGGCACCA